rnacentral:sRNA from 1 species
ACUGCUUUUCUUUGAAAUUCCCGUAUUGAGGAGCCCGUUAAUUUACUGAUUAACGGGUUUUUUUCA